ACGCACGCUGGCGGCGUGCUUAACACAUGCAAGUCGAACGGAAAGGCCUUGCUUUUGGGGGGUGCUCGAGUGGCGAACGGGUGAGUAACACGUGAGUAACCUGCCCUUGACUUUGGGAUAACUUCAGGAAACUGGGGCUAAUACCGGAUAGGAGCUCCUGCUGCAUGGUGGGGGUUGGAAAGUUUCGGCGGUUGGGGAUGGACUCGCGGCGUAUCAGCUUGUUGGUGGGGUAGUGGCUUACCAAGGCGUUGACGGGUAGCCGGCCUGAGAGGGUGACCGGCCACAUUGGGACUGAGAUACUGCCCAGACUCCUACGGGAGGCAGCAGUGGGGAAUAUUGCACAAUGGGCGGAAGCCUGAUGCAGCAACGCCGCGUGCGGGAUGACGGCCUUCGGGUUGUAAACCGCUUUCGCCUGUGACGAAGCAUGAGUGACGGUAAUGUGUAAAGAAGCACCGGCUAACUACGUG
rnacentral:rRNA from 1 species